rnacentral:rRNA from 1 species
AUGCUAAGCAACACUGGCAUUUCAGGGCUAACAUGGGGCAUCCAACAACAUAAGUUCACAGCUGAUAUGCGCGUGUUGGCGUUGCAAGGAUAUGACAUCAUUUUAGGUAUGGACUGGUUAGAGGACAUUGGCAAUGGUGAAAUGUGGGUUAACUGGAGGCGCAAGAAGCUGAGAUUUAAUCAUGAAGGCAAGCGCAUUACAUUGCGUGGCAUUAAUGAUAACACUACCUAUUGCCCUGCAGUUUCCACCAAACAAUUAUAUCAAAUGGUGAACCAAGGUGCUGUGGCCCAGCUUAUUCAGUUGUGUCCUGCCACUUAUGUCAAGGGAGCUUUUGUUGUACCUCCAUCUACACAGGCCUUACUUGAUGAGCAUGCUGAAACAUUUACAGAGCCCACUGACUUGCCACCAGCACGUUCUUUCGAUCACUCCAUUCCACUGAUUCCGGGUGCUAUUCCAGUGCAGAAGAAACCAUAUAGGUAUGCUCCAUCACAGAAGGAUGAAUUGGAAAGACAAAUCAAAGAGAUGCUUGAUCGUGGUGUCAUUACACAUAGUUCUAGCCCGUAUGCUUCUCCAGUAAUCUUGGUGAAGAAAAAAGAUGGAGGGUGGCGUUUAUGUGUAGAUUAUCGCUACCUCAAUGAAUUGACAGUGAAAAAUAAAUACCCAAUACCUAUUGUUGAUGAGCUAUUGGAUGAGCUUUGUGGUGCGCAAUAUUUCACCAAACUUGACCUUCGCAGUGGUUAUCAUCAAAUCUGGCUAGUUGAUGGGGAAGAAUAUAAAACCGCUUUCAAGACACAUCAUGGGCAUUGGGAAUUCAGGGUUAUGCCCGUUGGCCUUACAAAUGCCCCGGCUACCUUUCAGAAGGCUAUGAAUGUCUUAUUUGCACAUCUUCUACGCAAAGGAGUUCUUAUCUUUAUGGAUGAUAUCUUGAUAUAUGCACCUACCUUGGACGCUCAUAAUAUGUUGUUAAAGCAAGAGUUUCAGAUCCUACAGCAGAACAAAUUAUACCUCAAGGCCUCUAAGUGUUCCUUCGCACAACCAUCUUUGGAAUAUCUUGGGCAUAUCAUUAGUGCAGAUGGAGUAGCCACCGACCCAGCUAAAAUACAAGCUAUUAAGGAUUGGUCAACACCCUCCAAUGUGAAGCAAUUACGAGGAUUUCUUGGCCUUGCUGGAUACUAUAGAAAAUUCAUUGCUCACUAUGGUACAAUAAGUCGUCCUCUCACUGAGUUACUAAAGAAGAAUGUGCAAUUCACAUGGACUAGCACAAGGGGUGCAGCUUUUCAAGCCUUGAAAUUGGCCCUCAUGCAAGCCCCUGUCUUGGCUUUGCCAGAUUUUAAGGUGUCCUUUGAUAUUCAUACUGAUGCUUCAGGGAUGGGAAUUGGUGCAGUUCUUUCUCAGAAAGGCCAUCCGAUUUCUUACCUAAGUAGAUCCUUGUGCCCUCGCACACAAGCUCUAUCCACCUAUGAGAAAGAGUGUCUCGCGCUUAUUAUGGCAGUGGAGAAAUGGAAACCUUAUUUACAGCAUCGUGAAUUUACUAUCUACACCGAUCAUAAAACAUUGGUUCACCUCGAGACUCAACAAUUGACCAAUUCGAUUCAGCAUAAGGCAUUCUGCAAACUUUUGGGAUUGCAGUACAAAGUCAAGUAUAAGGAAGGCUCCAACAAUUCGGUUGCCGAUGCAUUAUCUCGUUGUCAAGGCUCACAAGAAUUAAUAGCAAUUUCGGUCAGUAAGCCUAAGUGGUUGGAGGUUGUCGUUGAGAGCUACUUGCAGGACCCUCAGGCUAAACAAUUAUUGACCCAGUUGAGUAUAUCUAGCCCUGAUGCUCAAGGUUACUCUUUGCAUGAUGGUGUUAUCAAGUACAAUGACCGCAUUUGGUUAGGAAACCAUCAAGAAGCAAAGCAAGCUAUCAUGUUGGCACUUCAUACUAGUGGCAUUGGUGGUCAUAGUGGAAUCACAGCAACCUAUAACAAGGUUAAAAGUCUGUUUGCUUGGCCGCAACUGAAAAAUGAUGUCAUUAACUAUAUAUCCAGGUGCACAGUUUGCCAACAAGCAAAGUCAGAGCACAUUAGGACCCCUGGGUUAUUACAACCUUUGCCUAUACCGGAGAAGGCCUGGGAUAUUAUUAGUCUGGACUUUAUUGAGGGUUUACCAAAGUCAGCAAGGUACGACACCAUUCUGGUCAUUAUUGAUAAAUUCACAAAGUAUGGACAUUUCCUACCUCUGUCCCAUCCCUAUACAGCUGCCUCUGUUGCCCAGUUAUUUGUUGACAAUAUUUACAAGUUGCAUGGUCUCCCUAAGGUUAUCAUAUCAGAUAGGGAUAAGAUAUUUACAAGCACAUUCUGGCAACAGUUGUUCAAACUCACAGAUACAACCUUGAAUAUGAGUUCAAGCUAUCACCCUCAAACUGAUGGUCAAACCGAGCGUUUGAACCAGUGUCUUGAAACAUAUUUGCGAUGUAUGACUCAAGCAUGCCCCACCAAAUGGUCUCGUUGGAUAUCUUUAGCGGAGUACUGGUAUAAUACCACAUGGCAUUCAGCACUUGGCAAAUCUCCAUUCGAAGUACUCUAUGGGUAUAAGCCAAAACACUUCAGUAUUCAAGAUAGUUCUGCUGUUUCCCCUCCUGAUUUAGAGCAGUGGCUCAAAGACAAAGCGGAUAUGAAUGCUUUAAUUCAGCAACAACUUCUUCGAGCUCAACAACGAAUGAAGAGCCAGGCAGAUAAAAAGCGCGUUGAGCGUUCUUUCCAAGUGGGGGAAGAUGUUUAUUUAAAGUUACAACCAUAUGUUCAAACUUCUAUUGCACGACGCUCAAACCAGAAGUUGAGUUACAAAUUCUUUGGGCCUUACAAAAUCAUUCAAAAAGUGGGUACUGUUGCCUACAAACUGCAGUUACCACAAGGUAGUCUUAUUCAUCCUGUGGUCCAUGUUUCACUCUUGAAAAAGGCUAUUCCAGCUCAAGUUACUCCUGAGGUGGAUCUCCCAGCUGCUUGUACAUCAAUGGAGGCAGGUAUAUUCCCUCUUCACAUUCUGGAUACCAAACAAAUUCAGACUGGAGCAUUUUCUACAUUGCUUGUACUCGUGCAAUGGUCUUCCUUGCCUGCUGCUUGGCAUACCUGGGAGAACAAGGAGCGUCUCUUGCAAGAUUAUCCCAAUGCGACCGCUUGGGGUCAAGCAGGUUCCAAAGGGGGAGGCAGUGUCACAGAUAUGGACCAGCCCACAUCGUCCAGUAUAGAAGUAGGCCGACAGGAACGAGACGAGCCCAAGAUGAGCCCAAGUGAAGUCACGUGUGGUGCGCGUGCGUGA